ACCAACAGGGAUUGCCCUAGUAACGGCGAGUGAAGCGGCAAGAGCUCAAAUUUGAAAUCUGGCUCCUUUGGAGUCCGAGUUGUAAUUUGUAGAGGGUGCUUUGGUGUUGUCUAUGGCCUAAGUUCCUUGGAACAGGACGUCUUAGAGGGUGAGAACCCCGUACGUGGCCGCUAGCCUUCACCGUGUAAAGCCCCUUCGACGAGUCGAGUUGUUUGGGAAUGCAGCUCUAAAUGGGAGGUAAAUUUCUUCUAAAGCUAAAUAUUGGCCAGAGACCGAUAGCGCACAAGUAGAGUGAUCGAAAGAUGAAAAGCACUUUGGAAAGAGAGUCAAAAAGCACGUGAAAUUGUUGAAAGGGAAGCGCUUGCAGCCAGACUUGCCCGUGGUCGCUCAUCCGAGCUCUUGCUCGGUGCACUCUUCUGCGGGCAGGCCAGCAUCAGUCCGGGCGGUCGGAUAAAGGCUCUAGGAAUGUAGCUCUCUUCGGGGAGUGUUAUAGCCUAGGGUGUCAUGCGACCAGCCUGGACUGAGGUCCGCGCAUCUGCUAGGAUGCUGGCGUAAUGGCUGUAAGCGGCCCGUCUUGAAACACGGACCAAGGAGUCUAACAUCUAUGCGAGUGUUUGGGUGUUAAGCCCGGGCGCGUAAUGAAAGUGAACGGAGGUGGGAGCCCUCGGGUGCACCAUCGACCGAUCCUGAUGUCUUCGGAUGGAUUUGAGUAAGAGCAUAGCUGUUGGGACCCGAAAGAUGGUGAACUAUGCCUGAAUAGGGUGAAGCCAGAGGAAACUCUGGUGGAGGCUCGCAGCGGUUCUGACGUGCAAAUCGAUCGUCAAAUUUGGGCAUAGGGGCGAAAGACUAAUCGAACUAUCU
rnacentral:rRNA from 1 species